UGGGCUCUUGGUAAUAAAGACUCUAUACUUUUGUAUGUUUAAAUGGUGUUUUUUUUGUUUGUGUUUUUUCUUCGCGUGGGGCAUGGCGGCUUGUACGAUCUCUUGAAUGACAAAGUAAUGAUGUCACCAAACUGUUGAGUCUUAAUUGUUAUUGUAAUGUGUUGCAAUUCUUAAUGUUAACUCAUGUUUGCUAACAUAUCGGCUUGACAGCUUGUAUAAUCUCUCUUAGAUGGCGAAGUAAUGAUGCUUCAUAAGUGUUAAAUAUUAACUGUUAUCACAUUGUUUUGCAAUUCUUUAUAACUCAUGUUCACUAA
rnacentral:lncRNA from 1 species